UACGUAGGGUGCGAGCGUUAAUCGGAAUUACUGGGCGUAAAGCGUGCGCAGGCGGUAUGACAAGUCAGAUGUGAAAGAGGUCGGCUUAACCGGCAAGGGUCAUUUGAAACUGUCAGACUAGAGUGCAGCAGAGGAUAGUGGAAUUCCACGUGUAGCGGUGAAAUUCGUAGAUAUUCGGAAGAACACCAGUGGCGAAGGCGGCCAACUGGUCCGGUACUGACGCUGAGGUGCGAAAGCGUGGGGAGCAAACAGG
rnacentral:rRNA from 1 species